AACAAUUAAACAUUUAACACUUAAACACAAAAAAAAAAAGUUACACACUUGUACACUUCAACAAACACUUAUACCUAACAAAAACUUAACAAAACACUUCAAAAAUACUGCACAAGGACUUAACAAAUACUAACACUUAACAAACAGUAACACUUAAAUAUCACACUUCACCCUUAACACCUAAACACACAAACACUUUAACAGUACACACUUCAAACCACUUCACACUUAAAUAAACAUUUUAACACUUCACACUUAAAUAAACACUUUAACUUUUAACACCUUAACACAAACACUUCACACUUCACAAACAGUACCAUAUACCAAACACUACAACUUAAACAUCACACUUCACACAUAAGUGCUUAACACCUUAAGAGCUUAAUACACUUAAAAAAAACGUAACAAAUACUUCACAAACACUUAACAAACAAACACCUAAGCAUCAAACUUCACACUUCACACCUUCACACUUAAACACUUAACACCCUAACACACAAAUACACUCACACACUUCACACUUAAAAAACACUAACACUUAAACAUCACACUUCACACUACACGCUUUCACACAUAAACACUUAAACACCUAAACAAUUAACACCUUAACACCUAACUUCACAUACUUCACACGCAUCACACACUUCACAUUUCACACUUAAGAAACAAUAACACUUAAACAUCACACUUCACACUGCACAUUUUCACACGUAAACACCUAAACACUUAACACCUUAACACCUAAACACCAAACUUAACACUUCACACACUUCAUAAACUUCACACUCUUCACACUCUUCACACUUCACACACUUCACACUCUUCACAACACCUAACUUCACACUUCACACACUUCACACUUCAUACUACACUUCACACACAAUUCACACACUCUUCGCACUUCACACACUCUUCGCACUUCACACUCGUCACACUUCACACUUCACACUUCACACUUCACACUCGUCACACUUCACACUCGUCACACUUCACAUUUCACACUCGUCACACUUCACACUUCACACUUCACACUCGUCACACUUCACACUCUUCACACAUCACACUUCAUACUUCACACAACACACACUUCACACUUCACACUCUUCAUACUCUUCACAACACCUAACUUCAUACUUCACACACUUCACACUCUUCACACACUUCACACAUCACACACUUCACACAACACUUCACACACAAUUCACACACACUUCACAUUUCUUACUUCUCACUCUUUGUACUUCACAUUUCACACUUCACACUCGUCACACUUCACACUCGUCACACUUCGCACUUCGCACUUCGCACUUCGCACACUUGAACACUUGAACACUUCACACUCUUCACACUUCACACUUCGCACUUCACACUUCGCACUUCACACACUUCACACUCUUUACACUUCCCCACUUCCCGCACUUCGCACUUUGUCACACUUUGUCACACUUCACAUUUGUCACACACUUCACACUUCACACACUUCACACUUCACAUAGCACACUUCAUACUUCACACUUUUCACACACUUCACAACAAGCGCUGAACAAAAUACUUGCAAAACACUUCAAAAACACUUCUCAAUGACUUAACAAACAAUAACACUUAAAAAUCACACUUCACUAUUUACACCAAAACACCCAAACACACAAACAUUUAACCACUUCAAACCACUUCACCCUUCAUACUACACACUUCACACUUUAAAACAAAUACUUAAGCAUUUCAUACAUAAAUAAAUACUUUAACAUUUAACGCCUGAACACAAACACACAAACACUUCACACUUAAACAUUUAAUAGCUUAACACAAACACCUUAAUACAUAAAUACACAAACACACAAACACUUCACAAGUAAAUAAACACUUCACAAACAAUUACACUUAACUAACAAUUACAAAACACUUCACCAACAGUUAACAAACACUAACACUUAAAAAUUACACUUCAUACUUGAAAAAAACACUUUAACACUUUAAUGCUUAAACACACACUUUAACACUUAACACUUAAGCACACACUUUAGCACUUCACACUCAACACAUAAACACACACUUUAACACUAAACACUUCAACACCUUAACACCUAAAUACCUAAACACCCAAACACCUCAACACUAAUUGAUUUUAGAUAUACUAUUCCUAGAGAACUUACAUUUAUAUUAUAAUAUAGGAAAGAGACUUAUUCAAGUAUAUAAUUUUUAUAAAUAAAAUUAUAUUUCAAAAACAUGUUUAAAUGCAAAACGAAAUUUAAAAAUUUUAAAAUUUAAAAAUUACAAAAAAUCAAUAUUAUGCCCCGCACUCUAAUAUAUAGAAGUAAGAAGCUCUUUUACAUCAAUAAGAAUUAGAAUGCACUCGUCAAGUUUUGGCUUCUUGUUCAUCUACUACUAAUAUAUUGUUGUGUAGUGCCAACAGUGCUUCUUCUAUCUGCAAACAAAAGAGUGAUUUAUGAGAAAACAGAGAUCAACUGCAAAAUAAAGCUAGAGCACUCAACUUGCAUCAUCAUAUGAAUUUAUAAAUCUAUAUGCUCUUACCAACUCAAUAUGAUAAUUAACCUAGAACCUUGAUAAAUGGCAUGGACUCAAAAUCUCCUGCAAGCAUAAAAGCUGAUCGUAACAAACAGAAAAUUUUGAAAAUAAAUGUUACUGUCAUUUAUUGUAACUGUACCUAGAGUGUCAUCCAAUUCAAUGACACAUAUCUGUAGGUCCAGACAUGCCUUCCACUGGUAUCAUUGUUACGUGUCCAAUCCACUUUUGAAUAGCAUCUAUAACAUGAGGAACAAUCUAUAGGUAGCAACAUUACACAAAGGCUAUUGCAAGCCAAAAUAGCUUAUGGGUUCAAUAGUUAUUAAAUACCUGGACAGUUUUUGUCAGAUAGUCUCCCCUUCUUUUCUUAUCUAUAACAUGCCAAAAGGGAAAAAAUUUAUUAAAAAGAAAUCAGCUAGCUGAUUAUUCUUUUUGGUUUCUCCUAGUAGCAGACACAAAAAUAAUCAAAAGAGAUGUGCAAGUUAAUCUCACCUGGUAAAUUUUUCCAGUAUUGAUAUUAUUGUCUCUUCUCAACUUGAUAUCCAGAAAAUUCAUAAUUUCUGAUGUCCAGGUUCACCUUUCAAACAACAAAAAAAAAGUUAUUUUCUUCCCAACCUUUUAACCUGUGAUAUUUUCUAAACAAUAAUCAAUAGAGAUAAUAAAAGAAAUGAUAAUUGAAAAUUACUCGCUUUUUAGGAAAUAAGAAACUCUCACAUCUACAAAAUAAAAUCAAAAAAGCAUGUAAAAGAAAAUGAAUUCCAAACAGGAAAAAGUUAAUUAUGAUCAUAAAUUGGAAAAUUCACCUUUUGUAUAUGGAUUUCUCCAUAAUAUCAACAAAAAAAAUAAUUUUUUUUCCUUUUACUUAAAAGAGAAGGAAGUAAGGAAGAGGAAGAGACCUAUCUAAUGAAAAUAACACGAAUACUAAAAAUCAACUACUAACCACAAACUCUUAACCCUAACCCUAACCCUAACCUUGACCCUAUACUAACCCUAACACUUCACAAACACUUAAGCAAACACUUCAAAAACACUUAACAAACAAUAAACACUUGAACAUCAUACGUAAACUUCACACUUAAGUGUUUGUACAAAUACUUGAAAAAUAGUUAACAAAUACUUUAACAAACACUUCACAAACACUUAACAAACACUAACAUUUAAGCAUCACACUUCACACUUAAGCACUAAACACCUUAACACACAAACAUACUCACACGCUUCAAACUUAACAAACAUUAACACUUAAACACUACACUUCAUACUUUUACACUUAAACAAUUAAACAUUGAACACUUAAACACACAAAAAAACUUACACACUUGUCCACUUCAACAAACACUUAUACGUAGCAAAAACUUAACAAAACACUUCAAAAAUACUGCAUAAGGACUUAAAAAUACUAACACUUAACAAACAGUAACACUUAAAUAUCACACUUCAUACUUAACACCUAAACACACAAACACUUUAACAGUUCACACUUCAAACCACUUCACACUACACACUUCACACUUAAACAAACAUUUUAACACAUCACGCUUAAAUAAACACUUUAACUUUUAACACCUUAACACAAACACUUCACACUUCACAAAAACUACCAUUUACCAAACACUACAACUUAAACAUCACACUUCACACAUAAGUACUUAACACCUUAACAGCUAAAUACAGUUAAAAAAAAUGUAACAAAUACUUCACAAACACUUAACAAACUAACAGCUAAGCAUCACACUUCACACCUUCACACUUUCACACUUAAACACUUAACACCCUAACACACAAAUACACUCACACACUUCACACUUAAGAAACACUAACACUUAAACAUCACACUUCACACUGCACGCUUUCACUCAUAAACACUUAAACACCUAAACAUUUAACACCUUAACACCUAACUUCACAUACUUCACACGCUUCACACACUUCAAACUUCACACUUAACAAACAAUAACACUUAAACAUCACACUUCACACUGCACAUUUUCACACGUAAAUACCUAAACACUUAACACCUUAACACUUAAAUACCUUACUUAACACUUCACACACUUCACAAACUUCACACUCUUCACACUUCACACACUUCACACUCUUCACAACACCUAACUUCACACUUCACACACUUCACACUUCACACACUUCACAAUUCAAACACACUUCACACUCUUCACACUUCACUCUGCGCACUUCACUCUUCGCGCACUUCACACUCUUCACGCACUUCACUUCACACUUCACACGCACUUUACUCUUCGCGCACUUCACACGCACUUCACUCCACA
rnacentral:lncRNA from 1 species